UACGUAGGGUGCAAGCGUUGUCCGGAAUUAUUGGGCGUACAGCGCUCGUAGGCGGUUCGUCGCGUCGGCUGUGAAAUCCCGAGGCUCAACCUCGGGUCUGCAGUCGAUACGGGCGGACUGGAGUUCGGCAGGGGAGACUGGAAUUCCUGGUGUAGCGGUGGAAUGCGCAGAUAUCAGGAGGAACACCGGUGGCGAAGGCGGGUCUCUGGGCAGUAACUGACGCUGAGGAGCGAAAGCGUGGGGAGCGAACAGG
rnacentral:rRNA from 1 species